UACGGGGGGGGCUAGCGUUGUUCGGAAUUACUGGGCGUAAAGGGUUCGUAGGUGGCCUGCUAAGUCAGACGUGAAAUCCCUCAGCUUAACUGGGGAACUGCGUCUGAGACUGGUGGGCUUGAGUGCAGGAGAGGAACGCGGAAUUCCAGGUGUAGCGGUGAAAUGCGUAGAUAUCUGGAGGAACACCGGUGGCGAAGGCGGCGUUCUGGACUGUUACUGACACUGAUGAACGAAAGCCAGGGGAGCAAACGGG
rnacentral:rRNA from 1 species